rnacentral:sRNA from 1 species
CGCUUCUAAAACAAUGAAAGCCCUGCCUCUCUUUCAUCCUUGCGACUCCUCGGCCGCGCCAGUGUGAAUUAGCCUGCUUUUCUAUUCU